CGCAAAUAGAACUCCAGUUAAAAAUAGCCUUUGUCUAAAUGUGGAAAGUGAGUAAAUAUAGUAGCAGUUUCAGCUUACUAUAGAGGCUUGCAGGCUCCAAGUAACAGUGCUUAUUAUAG
ensembl:misc_RNA